UACUCUUACCGGCGUAACAAUAAUAUUCUGCACAGUAUCUGGUCACAUAAGAUAUAUGAGAAAUAAUAACAUAAAUUUUCUUUACCGACUACCAAGCAGGAUCGUCUGGUUGCCAAUGAUUUCAUACAAUGCCGCAAGAUUGCCGAACAUGUCGUGGAAAAAAUAGUGGGCGGUGGAGAUGUGAAUGGGGCCAGUGCGGGAAGCGGAAAGGGGAGUGCUAAUGAGGACAGCGGAAACGAUGGCUCCCCUGAGGAAAAAGUUGAGCUGCUGUGUUGCGAUCAGGUCCUGGACCCAAAUAUGGACCUAAGAACGGUCCGCCAUUUCAUUUGGAAGUCCAACGUGGAGUUCACGCUACACUAUCGUAUAUUAAAACAAUGAAAUACGCAUAACUUCAGCGAGUGCAGAACGCAACUAAAGAAGUGCCUAAUGUUUCGUUGUGUGCUUGAAUAAUGCGCGAAACGAGGUCGCUUUGUGGUCACACUGAAACGUCAAAUCUGUCAUCUGUCAACGUCAACGCUAGAAAUGUCAGUUGGCGAAACGUCAGAUUUCGUUGUGGUAAGGAUUUCUCCGGUGCUGCCAGACUUGGAGUUUUUUGUAUAAUCAUUGGAAACGGAAAUUUAUAAAAUAUUUGAUGCAUUGCGAAUAUUCUUAUUAGCUAAUUUAAAUGUUAAAAUAUAGCAAUAGGAUAAUAAAUCUUCAUCAAUGAAAUAGAGAAAAAAUAAAGACAUUUACGAGACUUCAUGACAUGUAUUUCUUCGAACUAGGUAUAAGAGGAAUAUUUCUGUUCUACCGUGAAAUCAUAUUAAAUCUGUCAUUGGUCAUCUGAUUGAAACGAAGUCAUAAUUAGUGAUUUUUAAUUAGCCCGCAAUAUUGCCAACAACAAUAUAAUGUAUGAUAAUUGACAAUCUACGUAGAAUAAUAAUUGAAAUAAUUUAAAUAAAGCAUGUAAAUGAUAA